AUUGAACGCUGGCGGCAGGCCUAACACAUGCAAGUCGAGCGAGCUGCGGACGGGUGAGUCAUGUAUGGGGACUGCCCGAUAGAGGGGGAUAAGUACUGGAAACGGUUGCUAAUACCGCAUACUAUCGGAUAACCACAAUGGGAUUAGCUAGUAGGUGUGGUAAAGGCUCACUUAGGCGACGAUCUCUAGCUGGUCUGAGAGGAUGAUCAGCCACACAGGGUCUGAGAGACGCCGCAGACUCCUACGGAGGCAGCAGUUGGAAAUAUUGCACAAUGGGCGCAAUCCUGAUGCAGCCAUGCCGCGUGUAUGAAGUAGUCCUUAGGGUGGUAAUGUACUUUCAGCAUGGAGACGUUACCCGCAUAGGAAGCACCGGCAAACUCCGUGCCAGCAGCCGCGGUAAUUC
rnacentral:rRNA from 1 species